GGCGCUUUUAUUUUAUAGUGCUUCCACUCGUCAGGAAAUAAAGGAUGUUUGGUAAGUCUAUCGAGGGUGGCUUUAAGCUGCAAUGUAGGAUCCUUUGGUAGCACUUUUGGCUGGGUUACAGAUAUAUAAUUGGUGAGAUACUGGUCAUAAACUUGUUCCUGGAGCACCACCAUUCUCUUGGUCUUAGCGUCUCUUAUUAUGAGAUACUUAUUCUCCUUAAUCCAUGCAUCUGUCUUAUGAGCGAAGCAAGUCUAUGACUAUGCAAAGAAACUGUGCCAGUACGGCCAUUUAAAGCAUCUCAUACAUAUUUCCAUCUAAAUUUCUGCAUAUCAAUUUCAGUUUCACAAGUAUUAACAAUCAGAUCUUCAACAAGGGGGAUUUCAUUAGAGGGCAUUAGACCUCUACAAAUCGCGCAUGAUGGCCCUUUCUUGAAUAAUUCUUGUACAAAAUCUGGAAGCUUGAUGUCCCCUAGCACUACAACGAUCUUAUUCAACUCCAUCUCGUUCUUAUGGGGCUUAAUACGGUUACACUUAAAAAGCAACGAAUCUUCUGAAUGUACUUAUUCCUUAAAUAUAACUGAAAGGACUUCUCUCAGUCAUCGAGAAUACGAACAAAGGACUUGGUUGAUGCGUUCGAUUCAAUUUAGCUUUAACAUCGGUUUCAACUUUUAUAGCUUUAUAAUACCGUCUUUUGGCAUCAGCGAUUGCUAGAUUCAAACAGAUCCUUUUGGUGUUAC
rnacentral:lncRNA from 1 species